GCAGCUCUGCUUUGCACUGAUGAAAGGAGUAUUUGUUCCCCAGCCAGCCUGCUCGUGGUUUGCUGCCCUGUGUUGGAGAGAUUUCCUGGUACCAACCUCAAAUGCCACUUCCUCUGGCAGGGUAUCCAUUUUCUCUCAAAUCUGCCUUCUUGUCUUCUUGAAAGUUCUAAUAAUUUUUCAAUCACUGUUGGACUAAUACAAAGUAUAGAACUGCUUCCUUUGGCUCCCAUAUUCUAAGAGUAUGAGUGCAAGUCAGCAAGAACACUGCCCAAGGAGACCUGCAGUGGAAAUGUACACCCUGAAAAUAGAGCAUUCCAUGGAAGAAGAAUGAAAAAGGCUAUGAAUUCAGGUAGAAAUAGAAAAUCUGCUGAGAGGAGAAAUCGCAGCAUGAGAGGCCUCGUGGGCUGCAGGAAGGAGGUCAGCACCACAUUUCAGAGAGGCUGUGACACAGAGCUCCUGUUUCUGCACUCUGAUGAGCUGGCUGCAGGACCGUGAUGCACGCUCCAUGGCCAGCACCGACACACCGGACGUGCUUUCCAUGGGCACCUCUCCCGGGCCACUUGGAACCAAAUAUUUUUGCCAGUGACUUAGUGAUAAACUGAGAAGUGCAUUCAUUCAAUUUUUAAAUAGCAGAAUGCUGUAAGGGUUGUGAGUGUACUAGGGGGUGGGGUGAGGUGUGAGAAUGUUUCUGUCUGAUCCUGCCAAAGUCAGAUGUGUUUUCUGUAACACUUUGUAGCUGGCUGGGGUGGCCCAUCUGAAAGCCCAAGCACCAAAGGUCUCUGUGCUGGGUCCUGCCAAACCCCUUGUGGGCUCAGCCCAGGGCUCACAGACAAGGUGGUCUCAGCACCUUGUGUUCCCCACCCCUGUCCUGGGGGUACCUGCACUGCCAGCCUGGCUGACCUGGGGCAUGGAGACUUCCACCUCCUACAACACAGCCAGCAUGGAACAAGGAAUGAGCAUAGCCAAGACCAAACAUGAUCUUCAUGAUCUACUGCUCAAAGCUCACUUUGCUGCACAGGAGGUCCUGUGGAUGGGGAACAUACAGGCAGCCCCAGAAGGGGUUAUUAGCCCCCCAACAUGUUCCCCAGCCAGCCUGCUGCCAUAGGGACAGCCUCAACAUUGGGACUCAAAGCCUAAAAUCAUCUUAACAUGCAGAUUUAAAUUGCUUUAAUAAUGAUUUUCACUUGGGCUUGGAGUUGCACGUGAUCUCUAUGUUUUACAGGGACAUUUAGUGCUGUCUCCUCUGCUGAGAGGCAGCUUUGUGUGUGGACAAGCAAGUGCCCAGGCUCAUAAAGGGAGGGUGGACUCCCAGACCUGGUAAGCCUGCUGCAAAGCUGCUGCUGUCAAGAUCUAGAGGGAGGAAAACUGGGCUCUGCUCCACCUGCCCAGGCUGCUUCCUGCUCUCACAAAGCCCUUAGAAAAAUGAAACCAGUCAAAAAUUUGCAAAAAAAACCCUGCCCUAAAAUAAAAAA